AUGAACGCUGGCGGCGUGCCUAAUACAUGCAAGUCGAGCGAACAGAUGAGGAGCUUGCUCCUCUGACGUUAGCGGCGGACGGGUGAGCAACACGUGGAUAACCUACCUAUAAGACUGGGAUAACUUCGGGAAACCGGAGCUAAUACCGGAUAAUAUAUUGAACCGCAUGGUUCAAUAGUGAAAGACGGUUUUGCUGUCACUUAUAGAUGGAUCCGCGCCGCAUUAGCUAGUUGGUAAGGUAACGGCUUACCAAGGCAACGGUGCGUAGCCGACCUGAGAGGGUGAUCGGCCACACUGGAACUGAGACACGGUCCAGACUCCUACGGGAGGCAGCAGUAGGGAAUCUUCCGCAAUGGGCGAAAGCCUGACGGAGCAACGCCGCGUGAGUGAUGAAGGUCUUCGGAUCGUAAACUCUGUUAUUAGGGAAGAACAAAUGUGUAAGUAACUAUGCACGUCUUGACGGUACCUAAUCAGAAAGCCACGGCUAACUACGUG
rnacentral:rRNA from 1 species